rnacentral:rRNA from 1 species
GACAGAGGGUGCAAACGUUGUUCGGAAUUACUGGGCGUAAAGCGCGUGUAGGUGGCGAUGUAAGUCGGGUGUGAAAUCCCUCGGCUCAACCGAGGAAGUGCACUCGAUACUGUGUCGCUUGAGUGUUGGAGGGGAUGGCGGAAUUCCCGGUGUAGAGGUGAAAUUCGUAGAUAUCGGGAGGAACACCUGUGGCGAAGGCGGCCAUCUGGACAACUACUGACACUGAGACGCGAAAGCGUGGGUAGCAAACAGG